GGCCUCUGCAGUCCUCUAGGAAAGCUGGUAACCUUCUAACUAGUUAUGACCUCAGGUAACUUCUUAAAAAACUUAAAACAGACUUUAAUCCCACAAAACGAAUGUAAGCUCAUUAAUACCAACUGAGCUAAUCAAACAAACUCCAAAUGGAGUUAACCAAACAAACUUGUCCUAGUAUGCCACAUGUAGAUUUUUAUUGCUAAACUGAAAACUAUGCAAAGCUCAAAAAUGAUCUCUCUAAUCCUGAUCUCAAUUGUUAACACAGCAUGACUUUAAGAUACUGCAUCGUUUACUCUGCAGGGAUUGUUUCUGAUCUGUGAUAAUGGAUGAAAAGACUAUUUCGUUAAGCUGGAUGCACACCAGGUACUAAUGACUAAUUGAUUUGUUUAAGUGGCCCCUGCAAAUACAUGACCAGUACGUACCAGAGGGCUUUACAGGGAGGUGUCUCUUGAUAAAACACAUAAGGAAGCCUUGACUGGUGAAUUGUGAUUAGACUUUAAAGAUCAGCUGGACAUUCUCAGAGAAACACUUUCUCCAAUGGCCUGUUCCAAUAUUUAUCUCUUUGUUUUAUUGUUUUGCGUUUGCUCUGUAUGUUGAGGUUUAUUUCAGCUGUGCCUCUGGGUUAUUUUCAGGAGUUGGUUACAGUUGCUCAUGCCCCAUGACUAGCACUUCAGCUGGAGGAAUAAAUGACAGAUGCUGCUUGGAUGUUUUUGUUUGCUUGAGGAUUUGGGGAGAAGUUAAACAGCGUUUAUCGCGCUUUACAAAGCGUAUUCUUGGAAUAAGAGGAUUCGUGGUGACAUUUAUAUGUUUUGCUUACCCUUUGUUGUGACUGUUUGAUCUGGGCUUGUGAUUUUGUUAUUCAUUUAAUUCCUGCCUAAGACUGGUAUUUCAUAAUAUAAUAGGAGCCUUUGUCACCAGUCUUCCAUCUCACAGGAAAAAAAAAAAAAAAGCCUUUACACAAACCAGAAACAAAAGCUGCAAUAGUUGUAACUUACUGGCUACUGAUCAAGCUCUCCCUUUUUGAAGCUGGUGGGACUUUGCUGCUGGGGUCAGUGGGGUGGGGAAAGGAGGGAUGA
rnacentral:lncRNA from 1 species